AUGUUCAACUGGCAACUAUAGAAGAGCUGAAAUCCAGAUGAGAAGAAUGAGUUUAAAAGGGUAGAGAAUGUCCUUGAAAAGAAAAGAAAAACUACAAUCAAAGAGCUGAGGAAAAAGAAAAAGUAGCAAUGACAAUAGAAUCUUCAACGCUUAAAUUUUAUAAUGCAGAAAUCUCGUGAACUCUAAAUGCAAAUCUUACUCCAAUUAGCUCAUUUCAGGACAUUUUGAAACACUUAUUAAGGGCCCCUACAGUUAUGGUGUGAUAUAAGCUAGAUCAUGUCGCCGAUCUUGAUAAGUAGCUUGUCUAAUUGUACUUGUCCAUCAAAUACAGCGGUUAGCUCUUUAUAUUUCUGACUUAUUCCCAAUGUAAUAUAUUUGGUUAAAUGUUAUCAAAAGACCAAAGCCUUUUGUAAUCCUUGAUUCUGACCAUGACUAUUGUUGGAGAGAAAAACAGAUCUUUAACAAAGAAAAGAAAGAGCA
rnacentral:lncRNA from 1 species